UACGUAGGGCGCAAGCGUUAUCCGGAAUUAUUGGGCGUAAAGAGCUCGUAGGCGGUUUGUCGCGUCUGCCGUGAAAGCUCGGGGCUUAACCCUGAGUCUGCGUUCGAUACGGGCAGGCUAGAGGCAGGUAGGGGAGAACGGAAUUCCCGGUGUAGCGGUGAAAUGCGCAGAUAUCGGGAGGAACACCAAUGGCGAAGGCAGCUCGCUGGGACGGCACUGACGCUGAGGCGCGAAAGCGUGGGGAGCAAACAGG
rnacentral:rRNA from 1 species